rnacentral:rRNA from 1 species
UACGUAGGGUGCAAGCGUUAAUCGGAAUUACUGGGCGUAAAGCGCGCGCAGGCGGUUUUGUAAGUCUGUCGUGAAAUCCCCGGGCUCAACCUGGGAAUUGCGAUGGAGACUGCAAGGCUGGAGUCUGGCAGAGGGGGGUAGAAUUCCACGUGUAGCAGUGAAAUGCGUAGAGAUGUGGAGGAACACCGAUGGCGAAGGCAGCCCCCUGGGUCAAGACUGACGCUCAUGCACGAAAGCGUGGGGAGCAAACAGG